GAUGAACGCUGGCGGCGUGCCUAAUACAUGCAAGUCGAGCGAACGGACGAGAAGCUUGCUUCUCUGAUGUUAGCGGCGGACGGGUGAGUAACACGUGGAUAACCUACCUAUAAGACUGGGAUAACUUCGGGAAACCGGAGCUAAUACCGAAUAAUAUUUUGAACCGCAUUGUUCAAAAGUGAAAGACGGUCUUUCUGUCACUUAUAGAUGGAUCAGCGCUGCAUUAGCUAGUUGGUAAGGUAACGGCUUACCAAGGCAACGAUGCAUAGCCGACCUGAGAGGGUGAUCGGCCACACUGGAACUGAGACACGGUCCAGACUCCUACGGGAGGCAGCAGUAGAGAAUCUUACGCGAUGGGCGAAAGCCUGACGGAGCAACGCCGCGUGAGUGCUGAAGGUCUUCGGAUCGUAAAACUCUGUUAUUAGGGAAGAACAUAUGUGUAAGUAACUGUGAACAUCUUGACGGUACCUAAUCAGAAAGCCACGGCUAACUACGUG
rnacentral:rRNA from 1 species